rnacentral:rRNA from 1 species
UACGUAGGGGGCAAGCGUUGUCCGGAUUUAUUGGGCGUAAAGAGCGUGUAGGCGGCUAGGUAGGUCCGUUGUGAAAACUCGAGGCUCAACCUCGAGACGUCGAUGGAAACCAUCUAGCUAGAGUCCGGAAGAGGAGAGUGGAAUUCCUGGUGUAGCGGUGAAAUGCGCAGAUAUCAGGAAGAACACCCGUGGCGAAGGCGCUCUGCUGGACCAUAACUGACACUCAGGGACGAAAGCUAGGGGAGCGAAUGGG